rnacentral:tRNA from 1 species
GACAUAGUCAGCUAAAAAAGCUUUAGGGCCCAUACCCCUAAAAUGAGGGUUAAAACCCCUCCCACAUCA